CUCCCGCGCUGACAGCUGAUGACUGCCGGCGCCGUUAGUUCCCGAGCCACUCGGACGGGCGGCACCGGGGCCGCAGCCGCCUAGGCCGCAAGCCUCGCCCCAGACAGGGCCGCUCCGCGGGCGCCCCGCUCCGCCGUGCCCGCCGCGCCCCUCGAGGCUCCGCAGCUCCCGGGAAGGCCCCGCCGCCUCCGCCCCGGCGAACCGAAGCCUUUUCUCCCGAGCGCCGGCGGCCCGGGAUAGCGGCUCCCUCUGGGCCGCGGCCGCCCACCUGCGCGGCCCGCCCUCUUCUCUCCCCGACCCGCCCUGCCCACCGGCCCCGGCCCCACGCACCCAGCGCCGCUCGCCAGCCUGCCCACCGGCCGCUUCCGGCUUCCUGGAGCCGCGCUGGGGAGAAGGGGCGGGCCGCGCCGCUGCGUGACUGGAGGAGGCACCGCCUCGGCCCCCGCCGCCGGACGGCCCGUGUCCGCCGGGCGGCCUGAGGAGGAGGGGCUGCGGAAACACCUCGGCGGGGUAAAACGUGUCCUCACCUCGUGUAAAGUUCAGCCUCGCACUUCAGGAGCAUCACAGGCACUAAGCAUGUUCCAAAAUACCGCUCAGUGAAACUGAUAGAUCAAGUCAGUGAGAACUGAGAGCAGUAAAAUCUCCUCAGAACCUGCUCAGCUCCUUGGGAUCCUCUGGACAACCCAGCAAUGAGACAAUAAGAGGGGAGAGUGGAAACCAACUGCUGUAGAUGUGUGCCAGGAAAACAACAACAACGAUUGGAUUGUUUGACUUCUAAGAAUUCAAGUGAAGGAUUGCAGAUUACCUCAGAGAAACCUUACAAAGAGCAAAACCAUUAACUUCACCGAUGCAUCAUCUGAGAACAGUAAUGCUGGAAAUAUCUAAGUUAAACACUGUUUUUCUUGUAUCAUUAAAGAAUUAGAGUCUGACAGCCCUGGUCCUCCUCUCAGCAUUCCCUCAGCCAAACAAGAGGAGAGCUGAUGGCCCUUCUGACUCAGACACGCCUGCCCCUCCAUUCUUCAGAAAAGAAGAAAGGACUGCCUCUUGGAAACUGGCCACCGCUUUUUGUUUCUCAUGGGCUGGUUCACUUGGCCACGUUUCCUCUCCAGUACAUUGUUCUGCAAGGCCCAUCAGCUCCCAUGACCCUGAGAACAUGAGGCAGCUCCUUCCUACGUUGCCCCAGACACGUGAAGCAUUUCAUCUCCAAAACCAAGGCCCCAGAAGAGGACCAGCAGGACUCCAAGGAAGGAACUAAGGAAAUGCAGUCCACUUGCAUGGGCUGGACUGGUAGCAGACCACACUGGGGAUUCUUCUUGACAAAACCACUCCAGAAUUCAUGCAGAAAUACUCAUGCUGCUUUUAUGUGAUUCCCACAUGACUCCCAGCUCAUCAGUUACACGGAGCCUAAAGGGCAGGUAGAGUAUCAAGCACAACUCAGGAAAUGAAACCCGGAACACCCCUGGGAGCUACUGGAGAGAGUAAACAACGGGGAUGGUUUCACACUGAUGGCUUACUAAGCUCCAUCUCUACGUUCCCCUCCUGAAAAGAAGGAGAAAAUGCGAUGAAAAAAGGUUCAUGAGUUAAGGAUAGGAAGUUCAGUUACUCACUCACUACCUUCUGCCUCAGCCACAAGAUGGAUCCAAAAGGUGGGAAUAGUCUGGUAAGCAUGUACAAUGCCCCAGCAGCAACCCCUGAUCUGAAUGCAAUUGUCCUUCAAGCAUCCUCAGGGAAAAGGGUCUCAGGUGCCUGCUCCAUCUCAGAGACACAUGUGUGACUGAUUCUCAGUCAGAGCUGGGGCAGGCAGAGAAGUGCUAACUGCCUGCAUAGGAAGAGAGCAUGAGUAAGCCUUCCAAAAUGGGUUCCCUUUGUCUGUACCAGCUAGGUGCAAAGAACUUUUCAUUUCUCAGACUGACUCAGCACAGAUCUUCUCUAAAGACACAGUAUUUCAGUAUUUCAGCUAGGUGCAAAGAACUAGGUACAAAGAGCCUGGAUUUUUGUAGUUUGGCACUUUCCCACAGCAUUCUCCUACAGAAACUGGCUGCUUAUGGCUUGGACAGCCGAACAGUUCAGCAGGUGAAGAACUGGCUGAAUGUUGGGAUCAGAGUGUCAUAGUGAAUGGAUUGUAGAGACAUAUGGAAUGAAAUGCAGCUGUAGGAAGCUGUGCUAGUUGGAAGGCAAAAGCUUCCAGGUUUUGCUCAUCACAGUAUUAACCACACUUUUCUUUCUGGAAUUGACACUUCCUCUGCUCCAGCAUCAUCUCAUCAUCACCAACUUUGUCUCUUCACCUCUACCUGGGGAAGGGCAGGAACAGAAAAUGCUGUGUGUUAGUUUUACAGUAGUCUGAGCCACAGAAGUCUUUGGAACAAACGUUAUGGCAACUGGACUGAGCUGCAGAGAUUUAAAAACUUCCAUGGAAAACAAAUAGCAAACAGGACGGGCAUAAAGGCAGAAACAGGAUUGUUUUUUAAUUCACAUUUGAUUAUUAGUCAGCAACAUAUCUAAAGCUAGUGAAAGAAAUCCCAGAGGCGACCCACAGAAUGUUCUCAGGAAAGCUGCAUUUAAAUGACUUAUACUCGAAGAUGGAAGGCUUAAAAUGCCAAGGGAGAAAACAACUGAUCACUGACCCAGGGAUCCUCUAGCAGUGGAGGUGAUGCUGUGCAGUUGCAGGCAGCUGGGCAGCAGUUGACUGAACAUACAUGUAUGAUCCAGUGUUUUUUGUAACUCUUAAGUUCCUUAAAGGAUACUGACACUGUUAGAAAAGGAAGUUGUUAUGGAGAGAGUACAAAGCAGGAUCUGCCUCAAAGGGAAAGCUGGUGAUUAUCUGUUCAAAACACAGUCUGAAAUUUCUUCCCAUGCUCCUUUUCUCUCUCCCUGCAAUGGCAUGCCUCUCUUCUGUGUUCCACCAGUUGGAAGCUACCAGCAGGAGGUUUCCAGCAUACAUUUUCCUUGUUUUGUAACACUUCCUAUCUCUCCAUAGGCAGGGUUGCGUCCUAGGCACCAGCAUUUGAUGUUGAAGAAACUUGAGAAAGUUCUAGACUCUCUGCUAAGGCUUUCACGACUCUCUGUACCGCAGAAUUGAAUACACCAGUGAUGGCAAUGCUUGUCAAUCCUUGGCGUGACCGGAUUGCUGAUUGGAAAAUUUUGUCUGGUGUUCAAAAGGUCUGCAGCUGUUAAAGUGAUGAGAGCAGGGUGCGUUCCAUGCUGAGCAUGAGAGGAAGAGUCACACCUGUAGUCAAGCAUGUAUUGCUAUUCUGAAGGACCCUUGGGAAAAAUAGCUCUGCCAUAACCUGCCUGCUGGUCACUAGAGAUCCCACGAGGACUGGAGGUUAACUUAUGCCUUCCACCGAUGUGGAUACCUGAGUAGGACCUGUUAAUAGUAGAGGAACUGCUGAAGCUGUUCUCCAGUGUCUUUUUGAUUUUUUAGCUGGAAAGGCCCAGGCAAAGGUGAUAUUUGCUUCUGUGGGGACAUCUGUUCUUGUUCCUGGCUGUUAGCCUGUUUGAUGUGAAACUGGAAGUGAUAUAAUGUUCGCAGGAGUUCCGUCCUCUGGCAUCCUGUGGAUCUUGGCUGACAGAGAGCAACAUCCUGGGGCUUCUUCCUGGAGAAUGCUGCCUGCCCAUUCUGCACGUAGAUCCCAUUUGUGUGCUCUCUGUGUGAUGUAGCUUUUCUCUUUUUAAAGUGGGGCAGCGGAAGAAAGGAAGUAAAGAAGCAGGACUAGGUGAAAUGCCCUUUGGAAGUGGCUCUGGCUCAGGAAAGGGCAAGUUAGAGCCUUAGCCUUGUGGACAAGGCUUUUACUGCCUGCCUUCAUCUCCCACAGUGUUUUGUCUUGCCUCUCCUGCAUAUUCCUUUGAAGCUUUGGAGCUAUUUUGUUGUUAUAGUCAAAUUGUUUUUUGCAUUUGAUUUAAAUACUUAGGAGGCACAGCAACUAAAUCAGAGUAAGCACAUCUAUUAAGCAGUCAGCUUCACCUGGAACUACCUUUCUUUGUUCUGCAUCAUUUAAUCCAUUUCCACUUCUGUAGUUUUGCAGAGAAGGAAGAGAAACAAUUCCAUGAUGUACGACAGCUCUCAUGAGCUCUGCCUUUUUUCCAACAUACCACCAUAGAAGUCAUUCAAAUUGAUUUAUCAGAAGUACAAGUUGAUGCUCCCAGGCAAACUUUAGUCCAAAAGUAUUUAUGUUAAGUAGUCCACAAAUUACAGUCUUCCUCUUGUUAAGAAGCCUCUAAGAGAUGUCAGUGGUACAGAGGCUAGUGUUGACAGUCAAUGACGUUACUAGGUCAAAAAAAAUACAUAGAGAAUUGUUCUGAAGCCUGCUAUCUCCUACUUUUCUGAACUGCCUGGUAUAUAGUAAGUAACCAACACAUUAAGCAAGAACAGAGGAAAAGAAGGUGGGAGGAAGAAGUCUUCUUACUAGAGCAAUGGGCGCUGUCCUGCCACAUGCCUGUGUAACGUGAUCCGUCUGAUCUACAGCAACCCACCUGGUCGCAAGCAGGAAAUAUCAAAUGUAAUACUAAUGCCAAACGUAAUCUCCCACGGCAGCCUGUGGGCGCAUACAGACACAGAACAAAAUUGUAUUUAUUUUGUAAGAUUAGCUUUCCACCGUGAAUAGUCUCGUUACAGCAUCAGACAAGUCAAGGAUGAAUGGAGAGGGUAUAUGGGCACAUUGCCUCUCUGGGCAGUAACCAGUUGGUGAAGUGUCUUACCUCAACUGAUGAGCCACUCUGUGAAAGGCAGCAUCUCUCACCUCUCCCGGCAUAGAAUUCAUUGCUGUUACUUCACAUCUGGAAAAGGCCUUGCAAGCCUGAAAGGCUGACUGCCCUUAGUAACAACACCAGCUUGUGAAUAAAAUAUUCUAUCUCCAGAGUGCACUUUUUAUCUUAAAGACUUGCAACCGUGUUUCCUUAAUAAUAUUUUACUCUGCAGGGGGAAGUACUGCUGCAUACAAAAGGAAGAGUUAUUACCACAAUGAUGCUUAUGCAUUUUUAGUCUAGACAAGGCAGGUACACAGCAGUGGUACAUCAUACAUUAAAAAGCAUCCUUAAAACACCACCACGCUCCACUCAAGGUUGCUGCUUGUGGUUCAUCUCCUCAUUUGCUUUUGAUUUCAAUUGGAUAAAGAACCCGCUACCAUAAAGCACGGAGAAAGCUCAAGGAAAAUAUUAAAUCCUAUGCAAGUAUCCUAGCUCACUCCUCGCUCUGUUCCUUGAAAAAUAGCUUUGAAUGCUGUUGCCUCAAAGAAUAAAAACCAGAAAUGCAAAGAAACAAACUGACAAACAGAUACAUUUUGAAAAUGUAACACAACUAAAACCUCUUCACGGACCACUGACCCCUCUGUCACUGUGAAAAUAGUGCCUCCUAUUUAUUCCAUGGAAACUGGAACAGAUACCAAGAGCACACUAGCACUAUUUGAUAAAGCGAAUUCUCAGCUACAAAAUACUGUUCUUCAGCAUAGUCACCAGCACUAGCUAUGCAUUUUUGCCUGCGAUGAACAAGAGUCUACAUGCUGUGCUCGUCGAUAUCAGCAUGGUAGUUUGGAAUGUGGCUUGUCUCACAUUGCUGUCCCUGCUGCUGAAACACACCACUCAUUGCCUCACUGUGCUCACAUCCAUGGUUUGGUUUCCACAAGUGUUCGACAAAUGUCAAUGAAUGCCAGUGGGUGCCAUUUUUUCCACGUAGAGGAAUUCAGUGACCUACUGUUGCUUCCUGUGCACUUUCAUGUCACAUGCCAUUGUGUCAGCACCCCUCUGCUGCCAUCUGUCACACAGCAACAACAUGUAGUAGAUACUGGUGGGAAGGUUCAGCCUCUACUGCUGGACCACCAACAUUCACCUCUGGCACUGUGGGCUAACACAACAAAACAGGAGGCGUUACUUUCGCAGCAGCCCUCAUAUUUGCAUGAAUGCAAUUCUUUCUGCCAGCAUCUUCCACAUGGAGGACUAAUACGACUUACUAUCCCAGCAUCAGUAAAAUUGCAUCCCAGCAUCAGUAAAAUCAGUUCUAUUUAAAUGUAAUAGCCCAAGACCUAAAUGCUGUAGCUUUUAAAAAUUGAUCCCAAAUGAUUCAGACUUAAUAUUUCACUGAAUAAAAUCUUAUUUUUAUUAAAAAAAAAAGAUAGAAGCAGAUGCUACUUUUAAAUGAAAUCAUUUAUUAAACCAAUCUGUUUAUAGGAGGUAUAUAUAUAUAUAUAUUUUAUCAUUAAGACAACUUCAAUGAAAUGACUAUCUACAAAAAUGACUUUGAUUGUUUUAUUUUCAUGUCACCAUACAUGAACAGAUGAAUUUUAUGUCUUAUGAAAACAUUUUACUCAGUAUCAAAAAUGUACAUAUUUUAAUAACCAUUUCUAUGGUCUGAAGGGAAUUUUAUAUUUAAUUUCAAAAAAUAAGUGUCAUUUUAUUGCCAUACAUGUUACAGCAUAAGCUUAAAUCAUCUUAUACAUAAUAGAAGUGUUGUGUAGGGAUACAGGCAAUUUUACAUGUUGUCACAUACCUUCAUGUUUGAGACACAGAAGUGGGGUAUUUGCUUUUUUCUUUUUUUUUUUAUGCAAAGGCUGAAAUAUGUACUGAUGUGAGCACAAAGCAAUGUUUUUUAAGAACAAAACCAGUUUGAAUGGCACAAGAGUUAGCAUUUUUCAUAAAUUAACAACCAGAGUUCUUGAUUAUGGAAACAGAUACAUGAGAUUCCAGUCCUUUCCUUAGGGUUUUGCUCUCUGGAAGAAUACCUGUUAAGAUAUAUUAUUAAAACAAAAGAAGGAAGUAUGAAUUUAAGACAUGGAAUGGUUGAGGUGUAAGACAGUUUGUCACAGUUCACUUUCUUCUUUAACAUAAUGAACCAAGAUUUUCAAGGAUGUACCUUGUGCUAUUUGAUUAAAUUCACACCCCCAAAAAUGAAGUCUUCCUACACAUUGACUCUAAAUACAGUACAUUUGUUUUCGUUAUUUCAACUAAUAAGCAACACAAGCC
rnacentral:lncRNA from 1 species